rnacentral:rRNA from 1 species
GAUGAACGCUGGCGGCGUGCCUAAUACAUGCAAGUAGAACGCUGAAGGAAGGAGCUUGCUCUUUCCGGAUGAGUUGCGAACGGGUGAGUAACGCGUAGGUAACCUGCCUGGUAGCGGGGGAUAACUAUUGGAAACGAUAGCUAAUACCGCAUAACAGUAGAUGUUGCAUGAUAUCUACUUAAAAGGUGCAAUUGCACCACUACCAGAUGGACCUGCGUUGUAUUAGCUAGUUGGUGAGGUAACGGCUCACCAAGGCGACGAUACAUAGCCGACCAGAGAGGGGGAGCGGCCACACUGGGACUGAGACACGGCCCAGACUCCUACGGGAGGCAGCAGUAGGGGAUCUUCGGCAAUGGACGGAAGUCUGACCGAGCAACGCCGCGUGAGUGAAGAAUGUUGUCGGAUCGUAAAGCUCUGUUGUAAGAGAAGAACGAGUGUGAGAGUGGAAAGUUCACACUGUGACGGUAUCUUACCAGAAAGGGACGGCUAACUACGUG